UUCGACAGAACAUAACCACUCUCACUCUUUUUCUUCCCCCUCGGCUGCUACUCCUCUCUCUUCCAACAUAGAGAUUCACCAUCGCUCCAUCACCAGAUUCAUCACAAACCUCUUACUCUUCUUCUUCUUCUUUCUCUGAAUCAACUAAUUAAAACCAAGCACCCAUGCAAGAUUCAUUAAACCAUAUGAAGGAAUCAAUAAUUAUAGCAGCUGAACCAGAUGCAGUGUUCAAAUCAGAUGUUAAUGAUUGAAAAAACAAGCGAAAGAUGAACAAGUUUGGAUCUAAAACUCUAUUUUACAGAGGAAGUUGAUGGGAAGAAAUGGAAGUAGUUCAAUGAGAGUCAUCUGAUUACGACAAUACAGGUUGGAGUUGGAAUGAUGUAUGACAUUGAUAUGGAUGUUGUUGCUGUUAUGGAUAAUGGGAGUAACAAGAUUUAUGUCUCUAAGUGUAUCCAUUGAUACAAUAAUAAAGCUAUGGGAUGUAGAAUUUGGAAGCCUUCUCAGAAGUUUGAAUGGUCACAGGCCUCUGUUGGAGUUGCCAGUGCAGUUGGAGACUUUGGAUGCCCACCCGUUCAUGCCAGAAUAAACAAAUCUGUUGGAUUUUUUGUUUUAGUUAUUAGAUUUUUUGUUUUAGUUUAGACUGUUGGAGUUUCUGAUGUAUUUGACACUUUAAAAUAAUCUGUUUGACAGACAGGUUAGUUUAUAAAUUUCUGUCUUUAACAAAAUUGUCUGUCAGUUUU